GAGCAGCAACUUUUAUCUAGUGCAACAUUUGUUCGACAGGAAAUAGUUCGAAGCAACUCCGACAGCUCCGUUUGUUUGAGGUCUCUUCCUUUCAGAGACAUACAGUGUUUGAGUAAAGGUGAUGUUUUUUACAGCAUAUUUUCUAAUCUAUUCGUGGAAUUUUAAACAUGGAAAAAAGCCUUGAAGAUCUACUCAGUGAUGCAUUUUCAGAAACCUCUGUUCCUUCAUUCCCCGAAGAUGAAGAGCUGGAUUUUGAAAGUUUAGAUUUCAAAGACGAGGAGACUAUUUUAGGCCACAGCAACAGCACUGUAGAGCAGGAAGACAUCUCUUCUUUGAUGGAAACUGCUUCUACAUCUGUUUCUCAUAAUGAAAGAGAGAUUUUGGAUGCUAAAAAUAAUAGCCAGGAGUGUUACUCAAGCUCAGAGGAAGGGUUUGAGGAGAAUGAUGCAGAAAUUGAUGAGGUUGGAGAUUUUGUAUAUAAUAUUCACUGCAGUACACAAGACAACAUGGGUUUAAAUCCAAACCAGUGUAUUAUAGAUCAAGAAGACAUUGCGCCUAUCCCGGAAAAUCUUUCUGCAGACGCAUUAAAAGAAGAUCAGGAAAGGUUAUUGGCUAAAAAUAUCCAAGAUGUCGAGGCCAGUGCGAGACCAGAGGAUUGCACAGGCUCAGAGGACGAGAGCGGAGAGGGUGAAAGUAAAAUUGAGCUGAAAGCUGGGGAUUUCUUUGAGACUGUUCACUGCGGCAGUGACAAUGAGCAGGUCUUUGCAAUGGGACGAGAUCUGGGCCAAAAGGACAAGGAUCAGAAUAGCUACCAGGAAGACGACGAGAUAGAAAAGAAGUACUAUUUUAAGAGCAUCCGGAGAAGUGAAGGUGAUUUGAAGAUGCAAGAUGAUAGUAGUGAGGAGGAGGAUGAAGCCAAAUCAACAAAAACAACGUUCUUCCAAGUCGAAUAUACGUUGGAGUAUCCAGAAAUCCCGUACGAUGGGGUAGAAGAGUUGACCGAUGAACUGGUGGACAAGAUGGAGGAUUUCUCAGGAGAUGAGCACCAAGAAGCUGGGGAGAGUUUUGCAGAGUAUCCGUCUGACUUUUCCUCAUGUGAAUAUGUUGACGAUGCAAGAAACGCCGAAGAAUGUGACCUCGAAUCGCAGCUUGAUUGUUUGGCUCACAAUGAUCUGGAGGCGACAAGUCAAAAAGGCAUAGAAGAAGUAGAGACUGAAGACAGAUUUUUAAACAAUAAACCUAUGAUAGAUAGCACUGGUGAAAACGACACUGAUGGAGACAGAGAGUUGUCCAACAAACAUGAGAUGGGUUUAUUGGAAAUGACGAAACAAGAUUUAUGUUUCAUGUUACCCGAAAAGGAAGACAAUGAUGUGCUUCAAAGUUGGACAGAAGAUGUGUUUUCAGCAUGUAGCAACUCUGAAAGUGACACAAGAAGCUCAAAUGCAGACAAUACAGGCCAUGUCAAGCUUGCAUCCGAUCGAUGUAUGCCAUAUAUAAAGGGGGAAGAAGAAGAGAUCCUGACAGCAGUGUUCUCCAGCCGUGGGUCGGUGGAUGACAGUUUCUUUUUUAAUGAUGAAGCAAAAGUCUCUUAUGCGACGGAGGAGCAAAUAGAUGAGGACGAUGAGGAGGAGGAGGAGAGGAGGAAGGAGCAGGAGAGGAUUCAGGCUUUUUACAGAUUUUAUGACGAUGAAGGAGACAGGCACAGAGAAGAGAGACAAACAAAGGUUCAGUUUUGUAUGGAGACACUGUCCCAGGUGAUUCAUUACGACACUGACAGCACCGAAAGAGAGUCACUGAGCAGUUCAGAUGAAGGGGAGAAGGACUCGGAUCAGAACCCUGAACAAACCUUUGAGGUAGAGACGCCAUUCUUGGGUCCAGAUGAAGAGGAUGCAUCAUUGUCCCAGGAAGCUCAGAAAGACACAGAUCAUACUCAAAAGGACUUGCCAAACCUACCAGAAAUAAUAAAUCCGGAGUCUGUCAACAAACCGAUCUGCAACAAAAACCACAAGUGUCUCCCUGCGCUGAAGUUGAUUUUGAGCCUCUUCUUGACCGUUGUGUUGGGACUGGUCAUGUUCUGGUGGUGGAUCACAGAUGCAGAGGAGUGGCCAGAUUUUGUCCUAUAAAAGAAAGAAAAAAAGAUACUUUUGCAUACUUUGUGCAAAUAUAUUGUAGUGGACCAUAUAGGAGGCAAUUGUUGUUGUACUGUUUUGAUUAUUCACAAUAAAAAGUGCUUUGGUUGGUGGGGGAACUACAUCAUGGUGGUGAUCUGUGAACUAGCUAUAUUUCUACCAGAGGAAAAACAAAAUUCACACAUGCUUGCAUGUUUUGUUGUAAAAACAUCAUCUUAAACUAAACAAAUAAACUCACUCAAUAGUUUAGCCUCCACCGAAACAGAUGUC
rnacentral:lncRNA from 1 species